rnacentral:rRNA from 1 species
GACGAGCGCUGGCGGCGUGCCUAAUACAUGCAAGUUGAACGCAUUUUCUUUCACCGUAGCUUGCUACACCGAAAGAAAAUGAGUGGCGAACGGGUGAGUAACACGUUGGUAACCUGCCCAUCAGCGGGGGAUAACACUUGGAAACAGGUGCUAAUACCGCAUAAUUCCAUUUACCGCAUGGUAAAUGGAUGAAAGGCGCUUUUGCGUCACUGAUGGAUGGACCCGCGGUGCAUUAGCUAGUUGGUGGGGUAACGGCCUACCAAGGCUGCGAUGCAUAGCCGACCUGAGAGGGUGAUCGGCCACACUGGGACUGAGACACGGCCCAGACUCCUACGGGAGGCAGCAGUAGGGAAUCUUCGGCAAUGGACGCAAGUCUGACCGAGCAACGCCGCGUGAGUGAAGAAGGUUUUCGGAUCGUAAAACUCUGUUGUUAGAGAAGAACAAGGAUGAGAGUGGAAAGUUCAUCCCUUGACGGUAGCUAACCAGAAAGCCACGGCUAACUACGUG